rnacentral:rRNA from 1 species
GGUUAAGCGACUAAGCGUACACGGUGGAUGCCCUGGCAGUCAGAGGCGAUGAAGGGCGUGCUAAUCUGCGAUAAGCGCCGGUAAGGUGAUAUGAACCGUUAUAACCGGCGAUACCCGAAUGGGGAAACCCAGUGUGUUUCGACACACUAUCAUUAACUGAAUCCAUAGGUUAAUGAGGCGAACCGGGGGAACUGAAACAUCUAAGUACCCCGAGGAAAAGAAAUCAACCGAGAUUCCCCCAGUAGCGGCGAGCGAACGGGGAGGAGCCCAGAGCCUGAAUCAGCAUGUGUGUUAGUGGAAGCGUCUGGAAAGGCGCGCGAUACAGGGUGACAGCCCCGUACACAAAAGCGCAUGUGCUGUGAGCUCGAUGAGUAGGGCGGGACACGUGGUAUCCUGUCUGAAUAUGGGGGGACCAUCCUCCAAGGCUAAAUACUCCUGACUGACCGAUAGUGAACCAGUACCGUGAGGGAAAGGCGAAAAGAACCCCGGCGAGGGGAGUGAAAAAGAACCUGAAACCGUGUACGUACAAGCAGUGGGAGCCCCACCACUAAGCCAGUGGUGAACUCCACAUACGCAUCCUUUGCUGAGGAUACGGUUAACGGAGCGAAAGCGACGUUCAACCUCAAAAGAAGCAGAGGGGGCUUAGUGGUGGGGUGACUGCGUACCUUUUGUAUAAUGGGUCAGCGACUUAUAUUCUGUAGCAAGGUUAACCGAAUAGGGGAGCCGGAGGGAAACCGAGUCUUAACCGGGCGUUAAGUUGCAGGGUAUAGACCCGAAACCCGGUGAUCUAGCCAUGGGCAGGUUGAAGGUUGGGUAACACUAACUGGAGGACCGAACCGACUAAUGUUGAAAAAUUAGCGGAUGACCUGUGGCUGGGGGUGAAAGGCCAAUCAAACCGGGAGAUAGCUGGUUCUCCCCGAAAGCUAUUUAGGUAGCGCCUCGUGAAUUCAUCUCCGGGGGUAGAGCACUGUUUCGGCUAGGGGGCCAUCCCGGCUUACCAACCCGAUGCAAACUGCGAAUACCGGAGAAUGUUAUCACGGGAGACACACGGCGGGUGCUAACGUCCGUCGUGAAGAGGGAAACAACCCAGACCGCCAGCUAAGGUCCCAAAGUCAUGGUUAAGUGGGAAACGAUGUGGGAAGGCCCAGACAGCCAGGAUGUUGGCUUAGAAGCAGCCAUCAUUUAAAGAAAGCGUAAUAGCUCACUGGUCGAGUCGGCCUGCGCGGAAGAUGUAACGGGGCUAAACCAUGCACCGAAGCUGCGGCAGCGACGCUGAUGCGUUGUUGGGUAGGGGAGCGUUCUGUAAGCCUGCGAAGGUGGCCUGUGAGGGUUGCUGGAGGUAUCAGAAGUGCGAAUGCUGACAUAAGUAACGAUAAAGCGGGUGAAAAGCCCGCUCGCCGGAAGACCAAGGGUUCCUGUCCAACGUUAAUCGGGGCAGGGUGAGUCGACCCCUAAGGCGAGGCCGAAAGGCGUAGUCGAUGGGAAACGGGUUAAUAUUCCCGUACUUGGUGUUACUGCGAAGGGGGGACGGAGAAGGCUAUGUUGGCCGGGCGACGGUUGUCCCGGUUUAAGCGUGUAGGUGUGUGUUCCAGGUAAAUCCGGUUCACUUUAACACUGAGGCGUGAUGACGAGGCACUACGGUGCUGAAGCAACAAAUGCCCUGCUUCCAGGAAAAGCCUCUAAGCAUCAGGUAACAUCAAAUCGUACCCCAAACCGACACAGGUGGUCAGGUAGAGAAUACCAAGGCGCUUGAGAGAACUCGGGUGAAGGAACUAGGCAAAAUGGUGCCGUAACUUCGGGAGAAGGCACGCUGACACGUAGGUGAAGUGAUUUACUCAUGGAGCUGAAGUCAGUCGAAGAUACCAGCUGGCUGCAACUGUUUAUUAAAAACACAGCACUGUGCAAACACGAAAGUGGACGUAUACGGUGUGACGCCUGCCCGGUGCCGGAAGGUUAAUUGAUGGGGUCAGCGCAAGCGAAGCUCCUGAUCGAAGCCCCGGUAAACGGCGGCCGUAACUAUAACGGUCCUAAGGUAGCGAAAUUCCUUGUCGGGUAAGUUCCGACCUGCACGAAUGGCGUAAUGAUGGCCAGGCUGUCUCCACCCGAGACUCAGUGAAAUUGAACUCGCUGUGAAGAUGCAGUGUACCCGCGGCAAGACGGAAAGACCCCGUGAACCUUUACUAUAGCUUGACACUGAACAUUGAGCCUUGAUGUGUAGGAUAGGUGGGAGGCUUUGAAGUGUGGACGCCAGUCUGCAUGGAGCCGGCCUUGAAAUACCACCCUUUAAUGUUUGAUGUUCUAACGUGGACCCGUGAUCCGGGUUGCGGACAGUGUCUGGUGGGUAGUUUGACUGGGGCGGUCUCCUCCUAAAGAGUAACGGAGGAGCACGAAGGUUGGCUAAUCCUGGUCGGACAUCAGGAGGUUAGUGCAAUGGCAUAAGCCAGCUUGACUGCGAGCGUGACGGCGCGAGCAGGUGCGAAAGCAGGUCAUAGUGAUCCGGUGGUUCUGAAUGGAAGGGCCAUCGCUCAACGGAUAAAAGGUACUCCGGGGAUAACAGGCUGAUACCGCCCAAGAGUUCAUAUCGACGGCGGUGUUUGGCACCUCGAUGUCGGCUCAUCACAUCCUGGGGCUGAAGUAGGUCCCAAGGGUAUGGCUGUUCGCCAUUUAAAGUGGUACGCGAGCUGGGUUUAGAACGUCGUGAGACAGUUCGGUCCCUAUCUGCCGUGGGCGCUGGAGAACUGAGGGGGGCUGCUCCUAGUACGAGAGGACCGGAGUGGACGCAUCACUGGUGUUCGGGUUGUCAUGCCAAUGGCACUGCCCGGUAGCUAAAUGCGGAAGAGAUAAGUGCUGAAAGCAUCUAAGCACGAAACUUGCCCCGAGAUGAGUUCUCCCUGAGACUUAGAGUCUCCUGAAGGAACGUUGAAGACGACGACGUUGAUAGGCCGGGUGUGUAAGCGCAGCGAUGCGUUGAGCUAACCGGUACUAAUGAACCGUGAGGCUUAACCUU